rnacentral:lncRNA from 1 species
CUAUUUAAAAAUGACUUAUAUAUCUUCUAAUGGUACAAUACAGGGCUCACAGUCCUGGUUCCGUCUAUCUAUAUUAACAGACACAUUUUGGGCUAUUAUUAAUUUCUUUGUUUUAUUUUUCCAUACAAUGUUUUCGGUAAG